rnacentral:rRNA from 1 species
ACGAACGCUGGCGGCGUGCCUAAUACAUGCAAGUUGAGCGCUGAAGGUUGGUACUUGUACCAACUGGAUGAGCAGCGAACGGGUGAGUAACGCGUGGGGAAUCUGCCUUUGAGCGGGGGACAACAUUUGGAAACGAAUGCUAAUACCGCAUAAAAACUUUAAACACAAGUUUUAAGUUUGAAAGAUGCAAUUGCAUCACUCAAAGAUGAUCCCGCGUUGUAUUAGCUAGUUGGUGAGGUAAAGGCUCACCAAGGCGAUGAUACAUAGCCGACCUGAGAGGGUGAUCGGCCACAUUGGGACUGAGACACGGCCCAAACUCCUACGGGAGGCAGCAGUAGGGAAUCUUCGGCAAUGGACGAAAGUCUGACCGAGCAACGCCGCGUGAGUGAAGAAGGUUGUCGGAUCGUAAAACUCGGUUGGUAGAGAAGAACGUUGGUGAGAGUGGAAAGCUCAUCAAGUGACGGUAACUACACAGAAAGGGACGGCUAACUACGUG